rnacentral:lncRNA from 1 species
UUUUUUUUUUUUUUUCUCCCAAAUGAACAUAUAAGAUGUCACACUACAGGCCACUGGGAGAAAGAGGACUUCUAACAAAUCUAAGGCUUCUUUACUUUGUUUAUCCCAAAGAUGACAAGCACAGUAUCCAAAGAGCUCUGGAAGUUCUAACAAGAGGAUGGGCUGGCUCAGGUAGGUGAGUCUUUGUACGGCUUGGUGACAACAGAUCUGUAAUACAAUAACAGACACCAUCAACUUCCCCCCCCUUGCAUGCUGCUUAAAGACUUCAGAUACCCAACUCAGGUACAACUUUAUUCUAAAGGAUAAGGGUGUAGUUUCUGGAAUCAAAUAAAAUCAGACAGGGCAGCCCCGGUGGCUCAGCGGUUAGCGCCGCCUUCAGUUCAGGGCGUGAUCCUGGAGACCAGGGAAUGAGUCCUACAUCAGGCUCCCUGCAUGGAGCCUGCUCCUCCCCCUGCCUGUGCCUCUUCCUCUCUCUCUCUCUCUCUCUCUCUCUCUCUCUGUGUGUUUGUGUCUCGUGAAUAAAUACAAUCUUUAAAAAAAUAAGUAAAUAAAAUCAGACAGAUCUACAGACACAUUUUACUUCUACAAAUCACUAGUUGUAUCCUAUUGGGCAAUUUCUUUUUCUGAGCCUCAUUUUCCAACACACACAAAAAAUGAAGAUAAUAUAUUUUCAUGAAAUUAUGACAAAUAAAAUAAUGUAUGGACAACCCUUGACAUGGAGUCCAGUAGGUUACUCAAUGAAGUCAUUCUCUUCUUUUUUGGAAUGCAUAACCACCACUCUACAAUGUUUCAUAAUGGAUACCACAAUGUAAUCCACCAUGAAAAUCAAAAGUAAAAAUGUACAUCAGCUUCCCUUAUGAUGACAGAGUACUGCUUACUGAAUUUUUAUCUAUUUAACUGUAAAUCAUCCAUUAAAAACUUAAAGGAAACAUUUGUGCAGCCAUGCAAGUAGGUGAGGUAACACCAAGCUAGCUGGAGGCUCACUUCUGUACUGUUCUCAAGACACAUCAAUUUUUCCCUAUGCAUUUUCAAGCGGAACCCAGGAUAACUCUUCACAUUUUAAAUCACAAUUUGGAAGAAGCAGUUUAAAUUCCAGGGAAGAAAGAAACAAUACUUUGUACUUCACACUGACUAUAAACCUGAGGAAAAAGAAUGACAGCCUCAUUGUCAGUGUCUCAGAAUUGACACAUACCCCAAGAAGCUAAGUCAUCCUCAUCUUCCUUCUAUGACUACCACUUGGCACAAUCAUAUGAGAAAAAUGCUAAUGAGGCUGAUACAGAAGGUGUCAGGAGGAAAAAGCGUAUAACUUUGAUUUGAGCAUUACCCAAGCUCUACAACCUCAUCAAAAUGUUUCUCUACACUCUCAGCUCUUGUCACUGAGUAUCUACUAUUUUUGACUAUUUACCUAAGUCAACCUAAAGCUUAAGAAUAGAUUUGAGAAAUUUUACAAGAACAUUUAAAAUGGAAUGAGGGCAAAGAUACAAAUUUCUGAAAGAGAGAUCAGAAACCGUUUAAAGGAAAGAAAGGUACUAAGAAAAUGGUAUGACAGUUCUGCAAUGGAGGAUCAAAUGUAGCAUUCAGCUAAAAUUUUGUGAUGGAUUUCACAGUCCUCUUUGCAAGCAAGUUCAUUUGAGAGGCAGAUUUUGUUGGCACUGAGUUCUAGGAAGAAAGCAUUUUGUGGAUCCUUAUAUGUAAGGAACAUGUUGAAAAUGAGAUGAAAAAUACUUUUUGAAUAUGAGAUUGCAAAACUAUCUUUUUAUGGCCGUUUCUCAUAACAAGGUUGGAUGAAGACUAAAGACGAAACAGUAAUCAUUUCAUGAAGCUUAAAUAAUAUGUUCCUUUCCUGAAGAUAAAAUCUGAUGAAGAAUUCAGGGGAAGCAAUGAAAUAUUCUCUUUAGGUACUUUUGACUUGUGGUUCCAAGACAUCGGGAAUUUCUACUAAGUAAAAUCAAGGGUUGGAGGAGAGAAGAACACAAGAAUAUUAAGUUAAAGGGUCAGUCCUUUAGUAAAUUUUAUGAAACUUUUGCUAGAUCACUACACUGUUAUAACAUGUGUUUUUCCUACUUGCCACAAUCAGUAAAAGUUUUGCUACUGAAGAGCACCAGAAUGCAGGUAUUUGGGGAUCAGUGCCUCAGAUAGUUUUUCUAAAAUCGGGGUCAGGUUCAUGGAUAAGUAGCUCUGCCCUCAAAUACUGCCUAAAAUGCCGUGGGUAUCAUGUAUGUUUCAAAGUAACCUACCUAGCAAUAAGCUCAGGAUUUAGUUUCUAGUGAGUAGCCCAAAUACAAACCUAAUACUGUCCACUGGAAAGAGAGCGAAAGCCUUCAGAAACAGGCAGGCAUUUGACAUGAAAACUGUGACAUCUGAUUUCACCCAGAUGCCACUUAGCUCUCAACAGGCUGUCAAGAUGCCUUA